UAGAUCAUUGUCGAAUCCUAAACCAAAAAAUGACUCGCGAAUAUGUUCAAUAACUUGCGUUGGGUGUCGGGGUAAAACCUGUCCCCUCUCGCUCCUUGCCCGAUCGAUCGUUGGUCGUGUUGGGUAAACCAACAAAAAUCGGCGAAUAGGGCAGAGAGAUUAGAAAUGGGAUUUAUUUCUCGUGGAGGGGACCGUUUGCGGAAUCCUCACCAUGCUAUUCAAAAGGCCUCCACAAAUGAAACCUUAUACGACUCUCGGCAAUGGAUAUCUAGGCUCUUGCAUCGAUGCCCCAUUAGCAAAAUGCGAUACUUGGUGUGAAUUAAAGAAUCCCGUGAAUCAUCUAGUUUUUGAACGCAAGUUAUUAUUGCCAUUAGGCCGAGGGCACGUCUACCUGGGCGUCACGCAUUAGAUCGCCUCCCAUCAUCCCAUGAUCUGAAAGGGUCGUGGGUAAAUAUUGGGGGCGGAAUUUGGCUUCCCUUUUUCCAUCGCGGCCGGCAAUAAUGUCGUUCCCUGCGCGCGCAUUGCGACAAGUGGUGGACGAUUUGAUCGGGCGUAAGUUGUCCCAAAGUAUAGUCGAGUAGAGAGCGUUUGGACCUUGUGUUCAGGAGUCCCUCAUCGAGGCAGACUUAAUCGACCCCAGG
rnacentral:rRNA from 1 species